UAUUAGAAUUACCAAAAUGCAAAAUGAGUCGCCAAAAUUUUAACCGACCCGGGAGACCCAAAUACAUUUCCAGCCAGCCCAUCACCCAGUCCCUAUACAAUCCCUCUCUCACCCCACUUCCCAAUUCUGUUUACCCUAAUUCCCUUUCCGAAUUGAUCCUCAUCCUCGAUCAAGAAAUGGAGGAGAAAUCUAAGCUUGAGGUUACGUUGAUCGGAGAAGCAGAUCCAGAUGCUAGCGCUUCCUCGUCUUCAAGCUCCUCUGCUGAACAGGUAGCAGCUAUGCUGCACGAGAGUGAGAGCGAAUCUGAGAAGAAGAUCGAGUCCGAUGACUCCGAAAUGGUGAAGAAGACUGAGAGUGCCUCUGUAAGUUUUCUGUUUUCAGAGCCUGCAAUUAGGUUUUGGUUUUGUAGAAAAUUGAUUCGUGUUUGGUUUUGUUUCGCGAAGCAGAGCGAGUCCGAGAAGGGUGACAUCGUCGAGACUGAAGCGAGCAAGGUGAAGACUGCCGUGCUUGGUCCUCCCGGUCCCAAGUUUUCGGAGCCUGCAAUUAGCAGAGCGAGUCCGAGAAGGUCGACAUCGUCGAGACUGAGACUGAAGCUGAUGGCUCUGAGAGCAAGGUCAGGACUGCUGUGCUUGGUCGUCCUGGUCCCAAAAUCACAUCGGAUUGAUCUUUGUGAAUUUUCAAAUCUUUCCAAUCCAAAACAUGUGAAGCAUCUUCAUGGUUUUUCUUCAAAACACAGAUAUGAAUACAUCACGGACACCGGAUGGUUUAGGCGGAAGUGAUACUUGAUAAGAAUGUUCACCAACUACUCCGAAACCUCAAAAGGACCAGUAAACCGUGGAACUACAAUACUUCCUACAUGCAUGUCAGAAUAGAUAGUUAUGACUCACAUGUCAGUGGAAGUAGAUGCUUCUGGCUUAUCUGCUGGACUUAGUGAUGAUAAUGGUUUUGACAAGUCCACAGGGUUAGCUUCAAGGCAAGUGCUGAAAUCCUUCACUCCUUCAGCCUUUAUUUUCCAUAACAAUCUUUCUUUUUUAUUGACAUAUCUUUUCGAAGGGAUAGUUGGUUUUACUGCUUUCGAUGUCUUCCUAUUCAAGCAAGUGGUACAUUAGCUCAAAUAUAUGCUUGCAAAAUAUAUCAGGUAAUGAAUAAGAAUAUGGCCAUCUUUUCUAUUGAAAACUAAUUCUUCUUCAGGACAUGAACUUCAACAUUACCUACCGACAUGAACAAGUGAGAGGAUAAUUUUUGCGACUUGCAUGAUGACAUGAUGCUACUGAGAAUAACUCUAGCAUUAGACAUUUGGAGUUUAAGUAUAUGAUAUUUACAAAUUAAAUUAAGGCCUAUAAACUUCAGCAUCACUAGACGACAUGAGCACCAAUAGUACAACUUAUUGCACCCAGUAAUUGUGCUCCAAUUAUUUCAUAUAUAUAUAUAUA